rnacentral:rRNA from 1 species
CAAGGAAUUUUCGUCAAUGGGGGAAACCCUGAACGAGCAACGCCGCGUGGGCGAAGAAGUCUUUCGGGAUGUAAAGCCCUUUUCCCUGUGAAGAAAGAAAGACGGUAACAGGGGAAUAAGCAUCGGCUAACUACGUGCCAGCAGCCGCGGUAAUACGUAGGAUGCAAGCGUUGUCCGGAAUUAUUGGGCGUAAAGAGCGCGCAGGCGGUUAAUCAAGUCAGAUGUGAAAUAUCCGGGCUUAACCCGGAGGGGUCAUUUGAAACUGGGAGACUAGAGUACAGCAGAGGAUAGCGGAAUUCCCGGUGUAGUGGUGAAAUGCGUAGAUAUCGGGAGGAACACCAGUGGCGAAGGCGGCUAUCUGGGCUGAAACUGACGCUGAGGCGCGAAGGCUAGGGGAGCAAACAGGAUUAGAUACCCGGGUAGUCC